rnacentral:rRNA from 1 species
CAGCAGCCGCGGGAAUACGUAGGUCCCGAGCGUUGUCCGGAUUUAUUGGGCGUAAAGCGAGCGCAGGCGGUUAGAUAAGUCUGAAGUUAAAGGCUGUGGCUUAACCAUAGUACGCUUUGGAAACUGUUUAACUUGAGUGCAAGAGGGGAGAGUGGAAUUCCAUGUGUAGCGGUGAAAUGCGUAGAUAUAUGGAGGAACACCGGUGGCGAAAGCGGCUCUCUGGCUUGUAACUGACGCUGAGGCUCGAAAGCGUGGGGAGCAAACAGGAUUAGAUACCCGAGUAGUCCCUGUCUCUUAUACA